AACGAACGCUGGCGGCAGGCUUAACACAUGCAAGUCGAACGCAUCGCAAGAUGAGUGGCAGGCGGGUGAGUAACGCGUGGGAACAUACCCUUUUCUACGGAAUAGCUCUGGGAAACUGGAAUUAAUACCGUAUACGCCCUACGGGGGCAAGAUUUAUCGGGGAAGGAUUGGCCCGCGUUGGAUUAGCUAGUUGGUGGGGUAAAGGCCUACCAAGGCGACGGUCCAUAGCUGGUCUGAGAGGAUGAUCAGCCACAUUGGGACUGAGACACGGCCCAGACUCCUACGGGAGGCAGCAGUGGGGAAUAUUGGACAAUGGGCGGAAGCCUGAUCCAGCCAUGCCGCGUGAGUGAUGAAGGCCUUAGGGUUGUAAAGCUCUUUCACCGAUGAAGAUAAUGACGGUAGUCGGAGAAGAAGCCCCGGCUAACUUCGUGCCAGCAGCCGCAGUAA
rnacentral:rRNA from 1 species